CGGCCACAUUGGGACUGAGAUACGGCCCAGACUCCUACGGGAGGCAGCAGUGGGGAAUAUUGGGCAAUGGGCGCAAGCCUGACCCAGCAACGCCGCGUGAAGGAAGAAGGCUUUCGGGUUGUAAACUUCUUUUAAGAGGGAAGAGCAGAAGACGGUACCUCUAGAAUAAGCCACGGCUAACUACGUGCCAGCAGCCGCGGUAAUACGUAGGUGGCAAGCGUUGUCCGGAUUUACUGGGUGUAAAGGGCGUGCAGCCGGGUCUGCAAGUCAGAUGUGAAAUCCAUGGGCUCAACCCAUGAACUGCAUUUGAAACUGUAGAUCUUGAGUGUCGGAGGGGCAAUCGGAAUUCCUAGUGUAGCGGUGAAAUGCGUAGAUAUUAGGAGGAACACCAGUGGCGAAGGCGGAUUGCUGGACGAUAACUGACGGUGAGGCGCGAAAGUGUGGGGAGCAAACAGGAUUAGAUACCCUGGUAGUCCACACUGUAAACGAUGAAUACUAGGUGUGCGGGGACUGACCCCCUGCGUGCCGCAGUAAACACAAUAAGUAUUCCACCUGGGGAGUACGAUCGCAAGGUUGAAACUCAAAGGAAUUGACGGGGGCCCGCACAAGCGGUGGAUUAUGUGGUUUAAUUCGAAGCAACGCGAAGAACCUUACCAGGUCUUGACAUCCUGCUAACGAAGUAGAGAUACAUUAGGUGCCCUUCGGGGAAAGCAGAGACAGGUGGUGCAUGGUUGUCGUCAGCUCGUGUCGUGAGAUGUUGGGUUAAGUCCCGCAACGAGCGCAACCC
rnacentral:rRNA from 1 species